GGGGGUCAUGGUAGUGCAUCUGCUUGCCAUGCAGAAGGUUACAGGUUCAAUCCCUGCCAUCUCCA
rnacentral:tRNA from 1 species